UCACGCUCAUGUUUAACUUUCCAGACACCGUGUGGGGUAGGGACCACCCUAUUCUCUGCGUCCCCCUUUAUGGGGCCCCACCGUGCCAGGCACCGUGCUAGCCUAAGGGGAGACGGAUGCCAAGAGGUGGCCUCGCUGCCGUCAUGACACUGUGUAAGAAGGACGCACAAACAGCGGAAUGCACAACCCAGAAGCAAGAGGGGUUCAGAGCGGGAGGCCCUUUGUCCAGCCAGGGCCCAGCGGCGUCCUGAUGCGCGAGCAAGGCCAGCAAGCCCCUCCUGGGAAGGAGAGCCUAUCAGGAAAAUCAAUCCACAAAUACGUUCUCAGUUGCUCUGAUGUGCUGGAACCUUCCGUGGAUUCUGCUGGAGAAAACUGGCAAGAUCCUUGGCCCCCAGGCAUGAACAAACUAAUAAAGGAGUGAGGCCGACUUUGCCCUCCCGGCCUGAGUGGGGAUGGUUAGAAUGUCUCCAUUUGACCCGAGAAGGUUUGAGGCCGAGAGUGGAGUGAUUUAGCCCUCAGGCUGGGAAGUCCAAUAAAACUGCAUUUGAACUUGA